CUGACGAGUCCCAAAUAGGACGAAAUGCGUCAUC
rfam:Trichobilharzia regenti genome assembly, scaffold: TRE_scaffold0041232